rnacentral:ncRNA from 1 species
CACCGCCCGUCACACUAUGGGAGCUGGCCAUGCCCGAAGUCGUUACCUUAACCGCAAGGAGGGGGAUGCCGAAGGCAGGGCUAGUGACUGGAGUGAAGUCGUAACAAGGUAGCCAUACUGGAAGGUGCGGCUG